rnacentral:lncRNA from 1 species
UUCUCAUCUCUCUCUAUCUCUCAUUCUCUCUCUAUCUCUCUGUUACUCUCUAGAAGCCCCCUUGGCUUCUCCCCUCCGACGGGGUCAGUUCACCUUCUCCGACCAGUUUUCUCACCGGAACCUAUGGCUCCUCAACAGUUCUUGGUCAUCUACCCGCUUCUCAACGACUAAGUGAUAUCCUAGGCUCUUCAGAUGAACCUGGAGCGAUUAACUCACCUCCUAUGGGUCUCUUGCCACUUUUUAGCCAAACCUCUAGCAGUUUGAGUAAGUUUGCAAUCUCUCCGUCUAAAUCUAUGCCGUUCAUGAGGUUUUUUCUCUUUUUUGUGCUUCACAAAACCCUAGUCCUCUGUAUUUUUGGUUUUCUUUAAGAUCUAUUCUAUAUUUACGGUGCUAUGAAGUUUCUUCAUGUUUUCUCUGGAAAAUUCUAUUUUUAACAAUUUCAAGAACUAGGGUUUCUCGACCCUGUUCUCAAAACAUUUUUUUCUUUGAUUUCAUAAAUGUCUCUACUGUGUUUAAGCGAUUAUUUUAUGCUUUCUUGUUGCCUUGAUGGUUAUGGUGAAACCCCAAUUUUUAGGUUAACCUUAUUGGGUGUAUCCAUUUGUUACUCAAUUGUGUGCACUCAUGUGUUCGCUGUGACUCCUGUUUAAUUCACUACUAUGAUCUUUUCUUGUUGAUUUCAAUGAAUAUCUCUUCCUGUUAAUCAUGUGACUGCUAUUUAAAUGCUUGAUAAUUCUGACCUUUUGGCUAUUUACUUGAUGAUUUUUGCUGAAACUUUUUCUGUAAAAAAAUCCCAUGCUUGUGAUGUUUUCCUUAAAUACAUGAUCUUGUGUAUUCCUUAUGUAAUUUUGUACCAAUUUUUGAAUUAUUUCUAUAUUUAUGUUAUGCUUUCCUUAAUUACUUUGGAUUCCCUGUGAUUACAAUUGGAUCCGGGAUCCUCUUGGUUGAUUUUCAAACCGAUCCCCUAUUUUUACUUUAUAAAUACACUGUUAUUUAACCUUUCCUUAACUACCCACUAUGUAUUUGGCUUAUUUAUGCACUAUGUGGUUUCUUUGCCGUAAUCGGCCUUCCUAAACUGAUUUCUUUUCCUUAUUCCGCCUUGACUAACCAUUUGAAAUAGACUCUCCCAUUAAAAGAGUCAAGUUGUCUUAAUUAACAUAACUGAUUACUAUUUCCUUGUUGUGCAGUCUUUGCAUAUGUAUUGCUUGAUUUUAUUACUAUAUAAAGACCUAUCUUCCCUCUUUACAAACAUCUUGAGAUUCACACGAACAAAGUUACUGAAAUGCACACACAUAGAUUGACAUUGAGAUCACUGAUCACGCAAACCCAUCCAAGACUGAGUAAUCUCAACUGCUCUUGUGCUUUUGCAUACUACUGCUGCUUUCAUCUUGCAUAUUACUGUUCUAUUGAUGCUCUCUUUGUCCUGUAUACUGCUACUACUGUGCUAUCUCUAGCACUUUGCUAUUCUCUAUUAUCUAACUGGUAUGUUUUUUCUGAUUUAGCUUUAUAGCAUCUACACUCAAUAUGCUCCAGUCUCUGUUUACUUACUUACUAUUCCUUAUAUGUUUCAUCCUUUGGUUCCAUUUCUUACCGUGUAACUAGCUUAACCCCUAUCAUGUCUUCCGUUAUUGUUAAGUCUGAAUGUGUAUCUUGUUUUCCAUAUCGUUCCAUGUAAUUAUGUCAUUAAUACACCCCUAUCCCUCCCUUUCUUUGAGUCUAAUAGGUCUCCAGUUCAUUCUGAGACUCUAGUAUGCUUAUGUGUUCAUGGGUUGCUGUUUCUUACCAUGACCUGAUUAUUGUUACUUGCGCUCAUUAUGUGCUUAAAACUUGCCUCUCAUGCUACUUAAGUAUUAUGUAAUCUUGAUCCUAUUAAUCUGUGCUAUUAUGUGACAACUAUUAACUAUGUGAUAACUAUAACUCAAGCUAAAUGGUGAUAUCCAUCCCCAAUCCCUUACUCCUGUUUGUGUUUGCUCUUUCAUGUGUUCUUUACCUACUAGGAUGCAAUUGUAUUCCCGCUUUAUGUGAUAAACUCUUUUACCAAAAUCCUUAAUCUUUUUUUGAAAUCAUCUUUUCAAAGCUGUUGUCUCAAUUACUCUUUUCAAACUUAAAUUCUCUUUAAACUCCAAGCACCUCCCCACUACUCUUACAGUCUAGGUUCUGCCCCUUUCGAGUGAGCACUGCCUUGGGGACCUUUGAGUACACAUUGAACUCUGACACACAAGGCUGGCCUUCUACAUUCCACUUACUCAUCUUUGGCUAGGGUGCUUGGGUGUGAGCACUUUCCAGGAUCUUCUGAGGUCCUUAGAGUCUAUGAUACACUUGGGUUUGAAGGACAUGGCAUAUGUCAGGUACUUUGGGCCUACUGUUAGGCCUUCUAUAGUAUAGCUUCUUUAUUUUUCUUUUAUUGAGUUUUACAAUGUAGGAAAUACUGGUCUGUAAUAAUUAUUUGUAAAACACUUCAGGGAUGGAUAGUGAAAAGGGUGGGGAUAAUGCAUGCUUAGUAUAAUAUUGGGUAGAAAACAUGCUUUAGGAUUUACUUCACUUCUGUGCGCAAUAUAGAUCUUGCAUAGGACAUGUUUACAUUAGAUAUCAUGUUUCUUAGGCCUAUUCAUGUCUGUAUCAACAUCACAACCAUGUUCUUUUAGGGAUCCACGUUAGAUAUUAGCGAUGUUAACUACAUGCUUCAUUAGAAAUAAUGCUAAAUAACUGUUUUUUAAACAAUGUUGUCUCCGCAUGCAUAACUCAUAUGUAGAUAUCCUGUUAUUAGGCGUAUUAUCGUUAUUUGCAUUAGAAACGACGUAGUUUAGGAUCUUAUUUCGGCAUGUAUAUAUGUUGAAAUUUGGGUUAUGUACUCAAUUGGAUGCUUAGAACGCCUGUGUUAGGCUCAAUAAUUAAAUAAAAUCAAACUCCUGUAUCGUUUGGGUAGUCAAUAAUCCCGUUGAAAAUGUGCUGCAACAACUUAAAAUGUUUUCUGCAUUCUCUGCCUAAAAACCUAUAGCUGCUACAUCGUCAAUAUGCUUUCUUUGCAUUCUUAGACACCAUGCUUAUAGAAUUUUCAUUCUCA